rnacentral:lncRNA from 1 species
AAUUGGAUCACUCUUCAGAAUUUUUAAAAAUAAUAACAAAUGUUGAAGACCAGUGGGCAUGGGACCUAAUCAACAACAACAAUAACAACAAUGAAACAAAUAAUAACAAUCAUGAUAUAUCAAAGGAAGCUAUCCAGCGAUUUUAUUAGAUAUGAAAUUAGAUAGUGACCAUAGAUAGCAAUAAAUGUUGGAACCAAUAACAUUUUCUGUCCUUGUUUCAAAAAUAAAAGAAGAUAUAAUCUCAACAGUUAAAAACAUUUAUUUGUGAGUAGCAAAGUUAUCCAAAAAUGACGUCAAGCAAAAAAGAACGAAUUAUUAAUCAAUGGUUUUUAGAAAGAAAGUUAUAUUUUUUUAUUUCGCCUAAAUUGCACUUACUUAAAUA